rnacentral:rRNA from 1 species
CCUACGGGAGGCAGCAGUGGGGAAUUUUGGACAAUGGGCGAAAGCCUGAUCCAGCAAUGCCGCGUGCAGGAUGAAGGCCCUCGGGUUGUAAACUGCUUUUGUACGGAACGAAAAGCCUGGGGCUAAUAUCCCCGGGUCAUGACGGUACCGUAAGAAUAAGCACCGGCUAACUACGUGCCAGCAGCCGCGGUAAUACGUAGGGUGCAAGCGUUAAUCGGAAUUACUGGGCGUAAAGCGUGCGCAGGCGGUUUUGUAAGACAGUGGUGAAAUCCCCGGGCUCAACCUGGGAACUGCCAUUGUGACUGCAAGGCUAGAGUGCGGCAGAGGGGGAUGGAAUUCCGCGUGUAGCAGUGAAAUGCGUAGAUAUGCGGAGGAACACCGAUGGCGGAGGCAGCCCCCUGGGAUGACACUGACGCUCAUGCACGAAAGCGUGGGGAGCAAACAGGAUUAGAUACCCUGGUAGUCCACGCCCUAAACGAUGUCAAUUAGCUGUUGGGGGUUAGAAUCCCUGGUAGCGUACUGAACGCGUGAAAUUGACCGCCUGGGGAGUACGGCCGCAAGGUUGAAACUCAAAUGAAUUGACGG